rnacentral:rRNA from 1 species
GGACCCGCACAAGCAGCGGAGCAUGUGGUUUAAUUCGAAGCAACGCGAAGAACCUUACCAAGGCUUGACAUCCCUUGACUGCUAUGGAAACAUAGCUUCCCUUCGGGGCAAGGAGACAGGUGGUGCAUGGUUGUCGUCAGCUCGUGUCGUGAGAUGUUGGGUUAAGUCCCGCAACGAGCGCAACCCCUAUCAUUAGUUGCCAGCACGUUAUGGUGGGAACUCUAAUGAGACCGCCGGGGAUAACUCGGAGGAAGGUGGGGACGACGUCAAAUCAUCAUGCCCCUUAUGUCUUGGGCUACACACGUGCUACAAUGGCCGGUACAGAGGGCUGCGAAGCCGCAAGGUGGAGCGAAUCCCAAAAAGCCGGUCCCAGUUCGGAUCGUGGGCUGCAACCCGCCCACGUGAAGCCGGAGUUGCUAGUAAUCGCGAAUCAGCAUGUCGCGGUGAAUGCGUUCCCGGGUCUU